rnacentral:rRNA from 1 species
GACGAACGCUGGCGGCAUGCCUAAUACAUGCAAGUCGAGCGGACAGAAGGGAGCUUGCUCCCGAAAGUCAGCGGCGGACGGGUGAGUAACACGUGGGCAACCUGCCCCUUAGAUUGGGAUAACUUCGGGAAACCGAAGCUAAUACCGAAUAAUACAAGGAACCUCCUGGUUCUCUGUUGAAAGAUGGCCUUUGUGCUGUCACUAAGGGAUGGGCCCGCGGCGCAUUAGCUAGUUGGUAAGGUAACGGCUUACCAAGGCGAAGAUGCGUAGCCGACCUGAGAGGGUGAUCGGCCACACUGGGACUGAGACACGGCCCAGACUCCUACGGGAGGCAGCAGUAGGGAAUCUUCCGCAAUGGACGAAAGUCUGACGGAGCAAUGCCGCGUGAGUGAGGAAGGCCUUCGGGUCGUAAAGCUCUGUUGUGAGGGAAGAACAAGUACCGGCGUAACUACCGGUACCGUGACGGUACCUCACCAGAAAGCCACGGCUAACUACGUGCCAGCCGCCGCCGUAA